UAAGACAUAAUAAAAAUACAUAGCCUUGAAAUAAAUAAUAGAACAUGAAUAAUUUAAAGAUAAGACAACCAAGUUACAUUGUGAAUUGUCAUCAUCCAUUCGUGGGUCCCCGCAGAAUGCGUGCCUCCCCAGAUCCCCUUGAUUGAGGUGGUGGGGGGUAUUCAGUCGUGCCUCCCUUUGUUGACAUGCAAGAGAAGAAGUAGAGUUAAAAACAGACAAUAAACAAUUAUUAUAAUCACACAAAACCAUAACAUUUCCAACGUAAGGGGCUGUUAGUGUUAAUGUAUGUGGAUAUGACCCUUGUCCCUCUUUGUAGUUCAGGAGUAUUCACGUUGUGAGCAAACAGAAAGCAGAAAGGAAUAGCGUCUUUUGAACGGCAAGUUCAGCUUCAAAGCUCUGCCAGAUGGUUCUCUUGACAACACUGCAGGUACUUGUAUUAUCGAAGAUGUGAAUUGAGUUGCCAUAUGUCAUGUCUGAAAUACCACAUGCUGGCCAAGCACACAGCUGAUGCAGAGAGCCCCUCCCCCCCGUCCAAGGCAGCUGGGCAAUCUACAAGCCACACACUUUCAAAAGCAACGGCUAAAUGGGCGGCUACAGCUCGGGGGCCCAUUAAACAUUGACGAGGAUGAGGGUCAUCUUCAAAUCAUUCACGUCUAAUGAUGGCCCAAAUUCCUUUCGACAGCCGCCAGUCUUACCAUGAUACACAACUUGUAUGAAGACAAGAAAGUUAAAUAAGAAGAGGUGUUGAGACCGAGCAGCAGUUCAUGAUGUCACCAAUAAGAAAUUGGAAUCCCAUUUUGAAGAAAAAAAAAAAACAAUUCCCAAAUUUCAGGUCCAAAAACAUAGAUUGAACUUUUUUAACACAAGUCUGUUCCCCAACAAAAUUCGAAGUUCCUCAACACGCAGCUCGAAGUAUCUUGAAUGCUCCAAAUUCCUAAACGUAGUCCAAAGUCCCUUCAAUGCCGUUCAAAGUUCCUCAGCACAGUUCCCUAGUUCCCACAGUUGCAAAGCCCUAAUUCCAUGGCAACAGCCUGUGCCGCUCCGAUGUGCCACCGCCAACUCCUGUUAGAGUUCCAGUUCCAUCACACAGCACGUCAUUUUGACUCACAGGUCACAAUGCAUAUAAAUAGGUGGUUCCUGACAUAGCUGUAAAAAUCAAGCUCACCUGAGGAAGAGCAACACCAGAUUGAAAUGCGGUGUUCUCAAUCAAAUUUUGUGGCAUGGAGUAAGUAAGGGUGUGGGGCUGUACCUCCUUUUUGCACAAAGUCAGCACACUGACCACUGACAGUGUGGGAUUGAAUCUGCCAGACAGCUCCCGUUCAACCUUACAUCACACAUAGCCUCCAUCAAGCACUCACUGUUUCUCUACUGAACAGCCCAUUUGACAGCACAGCGGCAACAUGCAGAAAGGUAGUGGGGCAUUUCAUGCAGGGCCCAGCAAAAUGCGGUAGAGCUCAAACAGCAGAAAAUUGCACAUCAUCUCAAGAAAGAGUCACUCACACAGGGCAUGUCAAUGAGAUGGAACAGGUCCCUGGAGAUGGUGGAGCGUAUUCUGGAAAAUCAAAAACCACUGAGAGAUGCACUGGCCCUACAUGCAACCAACGUCACUGUGGCAACGACAGCCCGGCUGGAUAAUAUGAAGAAGUUUGGAGACGGUGAGGACUGCAGGGCGACAGUACCCAGAGGUGGAUAGUAACGCGCUACUCCGUUUACUCCGUUCCCAAAUCCCAGAGUCUCAUGCUGAUGGCUCCUUGGGCAAGACACUUAACCCCACGUUGCUCCUGACAGUUGUGUCAGCAGGUGCUGUGGGUCGACGCAUGUGGUGUGGUGGUAUCUUUUCACAAGUCCGUGUUUGGUGUGUUGUGUCAGGAGUGGUGUUGUGUUGGAUUCUCCCUGUUUGAUUUUUCUGCCGCUGUGGUAAGCCCCAGUCCUGUUCUUAUAAUUGUUUACUAUUUGUGCCUUUGGAAACAUUUUUGUUGUGAUUAAUUUAUAUUUAAUUGAAUAAA